rnacentral:rRNA from 1 species
GACGAACGCUGGCGGCGUGCUUAACACAUGCAAGUCGAACGGAAAGGCCCUGCUUUUGUGGGGUGCUCGAGUGGCGAACGGGUGAGUAACACGUGAGUAACCUGCCCUUGACUUUGGGAUAACUUCAGGAAACUGGGGCUAAUACCGGAUAGGAGCUCCUGCUGCAUGGUGGGGGUUGGAAAGUUUCGGCGGUUGGGGAUGGACUCGCGGCUUAUCAGCUUGUUGGUGGGGUAGUGGCUUACCAAGGCUUUGACGGGUAGCCGGCCUGAGAGGGUGACCGGACACAUUGGGACUGAGAUACGGCCAAGACUCCUACGGGAGGCAGCAGUGGGGAAUAUUGCACAAUGGGCGGAAGCCUGAUGCAGAAACGCCGCGUGCGGGAUGACGGCCUUCGGGUUGUAAACCGCUUUCGCCUGUGACGAAGCGUGAGUGACGGUAAUGGGUAAAGAAGCACCGGCUAACUACGUG